GGGAGUAACUAUUGGAAACGAUAGCUAAUACCGCAUAACAUUGACUAUUGCAUGAUAGUCAAUUGAAAGGUGCAAAUGCACCACUACCAGAUGGACCUGCGUUGUAUUAGCUAGCUGGUGGGGUAACGGGCUCACCAAGGCGACGAUACAUAGCCGACCUGAGAGGGUGAUCGGCCACACUGGGACUGAGACACGGCCCAG
rnacentral:rRNA from 1 species